UCCAGACUCCUACGGGAGGCAGCAGUGGGGAAUAUUGCACAAUGGGGGAAACCCUGAUGCAGCAACGCCGCGUGAGUGAAGAAGUAUUUCGGUAUGUAAAGCUCUAUCAGCAGGGAAGAGAAUGACGGUACCUGUCGAAUAAGCCACGGCUAACUACGUGCCAGCAGCCGCGGUAAUACGUAGGUGGCAAGCGUUGUCCGGAUUUACUGGGUGUAAAGGGCGUGUAGCCGGGCUGACAAGUCAGAUGUGAAAUCCGGGGGCUCAACCCCCGAACUGCAUUUGAAACUGUUGGUCUUGAGUAUCGGAGAGGCAGGCGGAAUUCCUAGUGUAGCGGUGAAAUGCGUAGAUAUUAGGAGGAACACCAGUGGCGAAGGCGGCUUACUGGACUGUAACUGACGUUGAGGCUCGAAGGCGUGGGGAGCAAACAGGAUUAGAUACCCGAGUACG
rnacentral:rRNA from 1 species